GUUCGUGUAGUACAUUAUUACUACUUAUUUUAAAGAUAUCUGGGAUAUUUUAGAGGGAUUGUGUCUCAUUUUUUCCCCUUUCCUCUUUAACUCCAGGAACUCACACCUAAAAGUACCAUAUAUGAAGACGAGGACUUCCUCCAACUCGUCCAACUUCCAGGUGUGUCGGAGGUUGCGUGUGUUCUGCUGGCAGGGAGCUGUGUUCGCAGGCCUGAGGGGUUGUCUGUUAUCUUUGGUUAUCUAGCUGUAUGAGUGACGUACAUUCUUCAUAAAGCUAGAUAACCGAAAGUAACAAGAAUCCCAUUACACGCCUGCACGGAGGAAGAGAACUAAGUUUGUGAAAAAACAACAACAACAAAAAAAAAACACCAUCAGAGAAGACUGGACUCAGACGACGGACGUUGCCAACUGAUGACGUGAAGGUUUCUGAUCAGUCUGGAGUUGGGAAUCACCUGAUUGUUGCCUCUCAGCUCUUUGGACUGUGGCUUUGAGCCCAGUGAUGUUCGAUGCAUACAGGACUACAUCAUUAGCCACUGACACACUGGAGGAAACAGACUGAUCGUGUGAAAGCAGCCAUCUCUACGACUUGACAGACUACACAACCUGGAGUUAAAGCUGGUAGUGGAUGCAUGAGUCACCAUUUUGUGCAGCUACUAACGAACAUGAAUGACGGCAGAAACACGCCAGAAGAUUCUGAUACAAGUGGACAACCUGAUAAAGGACAGCAAAAAUGGACUCUGUGUGUGUGUGUGUGUGUGUGUGUGGUGUGUGUGCUGUACACUGUGUUCUUGGGAGGUUCUCUACACAGCUGUUCAGGCAAUUUGUGCUAGAUUUUCAUGUAGGUCAGAGCUUAGAUCUCUCUCUCUCACAAACACACACACAAAACGCAUACAUUGAUUUUUAAAAUAAGUAUAAAAAGGUUAGAUGAUGUUGCUAUAGUGUACUGAAUUAUUAGUAUUAUUAGUUUUAAAAAUUUGAUCCUGCUUUUAUCUUAGAUGUUGAAAUGUUUUCUGUUUUUUUUUUUAAUUUUUGCAUUUUCAUUUGUUAUUUCUUCUCACCUUUCUUCAGAAUCCUAUUUGUGUUAGUAUUAUUUCUGCUACCAAUUAAAUUUGUGCAUUUGUCUCGUGUAAAACUGUCGACAAUCAGUCUGCUGGACUGAAUUACUUGAAGAAUUUCAAAUUGUUUUUCUAAUGCAAUGUCAAAAAUGUAUCCUGGACUUGAUCUAUCAGCCACAAUAUUUUUAUUUAUUUAUUUAUUUUUUUUAUCAAUCUUGCAGAUUUCAGAUUUCAUUACAGUGUUCAUUACAUUUCUUCAUCUCAUAACUGUAUGCAGCAUACAAUUAUAUUUAACAGCCACUAAUCACAUACAACACAUUUCUUUUUUAGGUAGAACUGCAUAUUGGAUCAUAAUUUUAAUGGAACUUUUUACACUUAUCAAGUUGUAGUGUAUAUUUUUUUAGUGCACGUCUAAUCAAGAGAGCUACUCUACUCUCUCACUACUGGGAGAGUUUUGGGCAAUCAGACCUGCAACUUGUUUAUCUUUUAAUCUAUGCAAAAGAAUUUAAUGGACAUGGGUAGAAGGUUAUGUCAUACUUGCACUAUUUGAAUUAGUGUUUGCACAUGAAUUGUGUUGUUAAGUUUGCACAUGAGCAGCUAAGUGUACGGGUUGAGUUUGUGUCGACAGUCUGAGAGAAAUGUGAUGACUUGUGUUGUUUUGCUAACAUGCACUAAAUGAGCACAGGUGCAAUUUGUCAGUUGCGCUGUUAUUGAAGUGUGUUUUUCUUUUCAGCAGGUCUGCGUAAGUGUUGUCUUUUCAUUGAUUUAAUCAGUCAUUUCACGGUCAGUCUCAGAGACUAAAAUCUGGAUACAAUUCCACAUUUCAAAUCAGUUCCUCUGACAGUGUAAUAUGAACUUGAAUGCAUUGACUUUGGAUCCAAUGUGAAGAACUUAUGAGUAUGUUUGCAAAAGGUUUUACGCAGUUUGAAUACUAUUUGAAGGGAAUCACGUGAUAGAUCAUAUUAUAUUGCACUAUGAGCUACUGUUUCAGGAGCCUUAUAAGCAUGAUUUGCACAUUAGUUACUGUUAACGUGCUGAAUAUUUGUACUAUGCAACUGUUUCUACUGCAGUUAAUCAAUAAAAGUAUGAAUGUUUACAAUGAGAUAAUAACUGCCUACGUCUAUGUUUAUGUGUUAAAAUGUACAUCAUGUAGGGUGAGAGUGUGAAGGAUCAGCCGUGGCACAAUCAAUAUUUCACAGAUUCGUUGGACCAUCAAAUUACGUCCAUAUUUACAAAACUGCCCCACGACUCUUCUGCAGCACAUCAUCCGCCUAUCUAA